CAGCCGCCGUAACACAUGCAAGUCGAACGGGUCCUUCGGGACUAGUGGCGGACGGGUGAGUAACGCGUGGGAACGUGCCCCUUGGUACGGAAUAGCCCCGGGAAACUGGGAGUAAUACCGUAUGUGGUCGAGAGACGAAAGAUUUAUCGCCAAGGGAUCGGCCCGCGUUGGAUUAGGUAGUUGGUGGGGUAAUGGCCUACCAAGCCGACGAUCCAUAGCUGGUUUGAGAGGAUGAUCAGCCACACUGGGACUGAGACACGGCCCAGACUCCUACGGGAGGCAGCAGUGGGGAAUCUUAGACAAUGGGGGAAACCCUGAUCUAGCCAUGCCGCGUGAUCGAUGAAGGCCUUAGGGUUGUAAAGAUCUUCCAGGUGGGAAGAUAAUGACUGUACCACCAGAAGAAGCCCCGGCUAACUCCGUGCCAGCCGCCGCCGUA
rnacentral:rRNA from 1 species